GAGUUUGAUCGUGGCUCAGAUUGAACGCUGGCGGCAUGCCUUACACAUGCAAGUCGAACGGCAGCAUGAUCUAGCUUGCUAGAUUGAUGGCGAGUGGCGAACGGGUGAGUAAUACAUCGGAACGUGCCCUGUAGUGGGGGAUAACUGGUCGAAAGAUUAGCUAAUACCGCAUACGACCUGAGGGUGAAAGUGGGGGACCGCAAGGCCUCAUGCUAUAGGAGCGGCCGAUGUCUGAUUAGCUAGUUGGUGGGGUAAAGGCCCACCAAGGCGACGAUCAGUAGCUGGUCUGAGAGGACGAUCAGCCACACUGGGACUGAGACACGGCCCAGACUCCUACGGGAGGCAGCAGUGGGGAAUUUUGGACAAUGGGCGAAAGCCUGAUCCAGCAAUGCCGCGUGUGUGAGAAGG
rnacentral:rRNA from 1 species